GGACGCAUCACUGGUGUUCGGGUUGUCAUGCCAAUGGCACUGCCCGGUAGCUAAAUGCGGAAGAGAUAAGUGCUGAAAGCAUCUAAGCACGAAACUUGCCCCGAGAUGAGUUCUCCCUGACUCCUUGAGAGUCCUGAAGGAACGUUGAAGACGACGACGUUGAUAGGCCGGGUGUGUAAGCGCAGCGAUGCGUUGAGCUAACCGGUACUAAUGAACCGUGAGGCUUAACCUUACAACGCCGAAGCUGUU
rnacentral:rRNA from 2 species